rnacentral:rRNA from 1 species
UACGGGGGGGGCAAGCGUUGUUCGGAAUUACUGGGCGUAAAGGGCUCGUAGGCGGCCAACUAAGUCGGAUGUGAAAUCCCCAGGCUUAACCUGGGAACUGCAUCCGAUACUGGAUGGCUUGAAUCCGGGAGAGGGAUGCAGAAUUCCAGGUGUAGCGGUGAAAUGCGUAGAUAUCUGGAGGAACACCGGUGGCGAAGGCGGCAUCCUGGACCAACACUGACGCUGAGUGAGCGAAAGCCAGGGGAGCAAACGGG